rnacentral:rRNA from 1 species
ACGGCUAUACCACAUUGAAAACACCGGUUCUCGUCCGAUCACCGAAGUUAAGCAAUGUCGGGCCCGGUCAGUACUUGGGAGGGUGACCACCUGGGAACACCGGGUGCUGUAGGCU